UGCUCUUAAAGGUAGACCUCCUUUCUUUCUAGUCAGUUGUUUGACAAAUCUUCUUCUUUCCCUAGAACUCUUCCCUACGCAAGUCAUCUUUGUUUUCCCAUUCCCAAUCCGCAGGCUAACCUACACAAGCCAUCUUUAUUUUCCUAUUUGACUUUGAAGACCUUUGCUUUAUUCCUCUAAUCUUUGUUUUCCUAUUUGACUUUGCAAAUCUUUACUUUAUUCCUCUAAGCUAAGGAUGAGGAGCAAAAGAAGAAGAUUAAUGCCGGAGACAAAGACUUAAUGGGAGACACAGGACAAGCAUCUGAAAUUCCAUUUAAACACGGUACCAAAGAUUGUGUUUUACACUGGGGACUGAGGCUUGCCGCUCUUGAUGGGAACACAAGGCGGAGUUAAUUGGCAGCGUCUACCAAAGGGCAGGGGAUAACAAGCCUUUCAAAUUAUACAACAACAGCCAAGCCUGCCUUAGUCCUAAAACUUUUUGGAAUUUGCUACGGAUCUCAACGCAUUAAUCAGGACUAAUAUUUCAGCUUCUAAAGGUGAAAGAAAAUUUGCAAGUAUCUUGGUCAAUGGUGUUUUGUUGGAUGGAAUUGGGUGAUUGGCUGUCAUACAGGGCAAAAGGAGAUGAUACUUUUAGUUUGUGCAACACGGUGUGCAAAUGGACAUAUCUUGGUCAGGGAUAUAUGCAGAAAGUCAAUGAAAAAGAUUCCUGAGAUAUGGAAGCUUGUGGAUGGGAUGAUGACUUCUGGGAGUAGAUUGGAUUAGGCGAUCUUUUAGAUGGGCAUCAUGCUAAGAUAGGAACUGGGUCUUGUAGCAGGAAUUCAUUUUGAAACUUCACUGAUUGAUGCUCAUGCUGGUGGCGUGGGGGUAAUGGAAAGUGUGCCACAUUUGGACUCUGAAGCUAAAGAGUGUGAUAUGGAAGCUAUAUGCCACCACAUGGUGUUAGUCUGUGGAACUUCUACCUGCCAUAUGGCCAUAUCAAGGAGCAAGUUAUUCAUUCCAGGGGUCAGGGGACCGUUCUGGUCUGGUACACUUCUGGAACUUAUGUUCAGCAUUUAUCUCAUGGAAUUUGGAUCAUAAUGUGUUGUUUAAAAUUUGACAGGCUGAAGCAUCAUUGUUGAGGCGACUAAUCUUUUACAUGUAUUUUGCAUUACUUAAAAAGUGAUUAAGUAAUAAAAACAUUUUUAGAAAAAUAAGCGGAAAGUAUCAACCUUAGGCAUAGAAAGUAGCCUUGAAACAGUUACAUUCUAAAUUCAAGAAGCAAUAAAGUUCAAGAAAGAAUAAGUCAAAUGAAGAUGGAGUGGUAUGUGCAGUUUUAUUUUAAGAUUUUUUAAAAUUGCCAAUGUGAGAUUGGGAUCUAACAGGCAAUCUAAGCCCAUCCCUCUCCAGAUCAUUAUCACCAUUCACCGGAACCUAGGAUUUUGGGGCUAACUUGUUGAAAGUCGGUCAUCCUUUACUUGUUAUGCUGCUGCAGUCCAUUUCCUGUUACACAUUCCAAAACUACAACGACUGGCAUAAGUGCAAACCUUAUCAACUAAUCUCUCAUUAAGUUAUUGACAGCAGCACUGCAUUAGUCAAUUUAGAAUUUUGUUUUUUCUCUUUUGGAAGUGCCUUCCAUCACAUCAUUGUUAGACUUAUGAGAGAAAUAGAACCCACAGAAGCAUCAACAUGAUUUUGAUACUCCCUCGGCCUAGUGGAGGCUGGGCUCCUGUCCUAAAGAAAGUUAAAAGAUCUGAAAGUUUAAAGCCUGAAGUGAAUGACCUAGGGCCCGUUUGGUUUAGAGGUGUCUCAGUUUUCAUAACUCAGUACUUAGUUUUCAUAACUUAAACUUAAAACCCAUAACUCAUAACUCAAACUCCACUAUCACUCAAAAAAUCCAACACUUUUGUUUGGUCACAAAACUCAACCAUGUAUCUCAGUUUUUAACUUCACUUUUUGCCAAAAUAAUGGACCCUCCUACUGACACUACACAGAAGAAUAUGGUUGCUACCCAUGUUCCUUUUUUUUUUUUUUUCUGC